GAUGAACGCUGGCGGCGUGCCUAAUACAUGCAAGUCGAGCGAACAGAUGAGGAGCUUGCUCCUCUGACGUUAGCGGCGGACGGGUGAGUAACACGUGGAUAACCUACCUAUAAGACUGGGAUAACUUCGGGAAACCGGAGCUAAUACCGGAUAAUAUAUUGAACCGCAUGGUUCAAUAGUGAAAGACGGUUUUGCUGUCACUUAUCGAUGGAUCCGCGCCGCAUUAGCUAGUUGGUAAGGUAACGGCUUAUCAAGGCAACGAUGCGUAGCCGACCUGAGAGGGUGAUCGGCCACACUGGAACUGAGACACGGUCCAGACUCCUACGGGAGGCAGCAGUAGGGAAUCUUCCGCAAUGGGCGAAAGCCUGACGGAGCAACGCCGCGUGAGUGAUGAAGGUCUUCGGAUCGUAAAACUCUGUUAUUAGGGAAGAACAAAUGUGUAAGUAACUAUGCACGUCUUGACGGUACCUAAUCAGAAAGCCACGGCUAACUACGUG
rnacentral:rRNA from 1 species